rnacentral:rRNA from 1 species
UUACCUACGGGGGGCAGCAGUGGGGGAUAUUGCACAAUGGGGGAAACCCUGAUGCAGUGACGCCGCGUGAGUGAAGAAGUAAUUCGUUAUGUAAAGCUCUAUCAGCAGGGAAGAAAAAAGACGGUACCUGACUAAGAAGCCCCGGCUAGCUACGUGCCAGCAGCCGCGGUAAUACGUAGGGGGCAAGCGUUAUCCGGAUUUACUGGGUGUAAAGGGAGCGUAGACGGCUGUGCAAGUCUGAAGUGAAAUGCCAGGGCUCAACCCCGGAACUGCUUUGGAAACUGUACAGCUAGAGUGCAGAAGGG